GACGAACGCUGGCGGCGUGCCUAAUACAUGCAAGUCGAACGCAGUGGGGACGGGUGAGUAACACGUGGGUAACCUCCCAUCAGAGGGCGGAACCUUUGGAAACAGGUGCUAAACCGAUACUGAUGGAUGGAGCCGCGGUGCAUUAGCUAGUUGGUGAGGAAAAGGCUCACCAAGGCCACGAUCCAUAGCUGACCUGAGAGGGUGAUCAGCCACACUGGGACUGAGACACGGCCCAGACUCCUACGGGAGGCAGCAGUAGGGAAUCUGCGACAAUGGGCGAAAGCCUGACCGAGCAACGCCGCGUGAGUGAAGAAGGUUUUCGGAUCGUAAAACACUGUUGUUAGAGAAGCGGUAUCUAACCAGAAAGCCACGGCUAACUACGUGCCAGCAGCCGCGGUAAUUC
rnacentral:rRNA from 1 species